AUCAGUCAGGACUACCCGCUGAACUUAAGCAUAUCAAUAAGCGGAGGAAAAGAAACUAACAAGGAUUCCCCUAGUAACGGCGAGUGAAGUGGGAAAAGCUCAACUUUGUAAUCUGGCAGCUUCGCUGUCCGAGUUGUAGUCUCGAGAAAUGUUUUCCGCGUCGGCACGUGUAUGAGUCUGUUGGAAUACAGCGUCAUAGAGGGUGAGAACCCCGUUCAUGACACGUCUCCCGAUGCUUUGUGAUACAUUUUCGAUGAGUCGAGUUGUUUGGGAAUGCAGCUCAAAAUGGGUGGUAAAUUCCAUCUAAAGCUAAAUAUGGGUGGGAGACCGAUAGCGUACAAGUACCGUGAGGGAAAGAUGCAAAGAACUUUGA
rnacentral:rRNA from 1 species